AUGAUUCAGAUGGAGAAGGUACACCAUGCAAUCAGUGCAAUUUACACAAUCUCUGGACUGAUAGAUGAUUACAUUGCCCCAUGCUACAAGAUCUCUGAGUACGACAAGAUAUAUAACCAUGUCUUGCAACCAGUGGAGGGAAAAGAGAGUUGGCCAGUUGCUGACAUGCCAAAACCUCAUCCACCUCCUCAUAGGGUAAUGCCAGGAAGAAAGAAGACAAAAAGAAGAAGAGAAGAAGGUGAGAAACCUCAGGGGAACAAGCUUUCAAAGAAAGGCAUUAAAAUUGCAUGUUCUAUGUGUGGGAGCUUUUCUCAUAACAAAAGAACCUGUGAGAAAAAUCCAAAUAAAGGUCAGAAACAAAAUGCUAGCUACACAAGAGCAGCAAAAAGAGCAAGGAAAAAACAGCAAAAAGAUUUAGUAAACAACACACAGGUGCCACACCCAGGAAAGAGGACAAAGAAGCAAGCAGCGCAUAGUCCAGCAAGGCCAACUUCAAUGCCCAAAACUGCUUCUCAACCUGUUGGAAGGGGAACCCAGAGAAGGAAUCACAACAGGGCAGGUUCAAGCUCACAGCCUGCUCCAAGAGUUCAAGUAACUUCAGGCUCACAGCAAGUGCCAAGUCAGAACAGGUAG
rnacentral:rRNA from 1 species